rnacentral:rRNA from 1 species
CAGGCCUAACACAUGCAAGUCGAACGGUAACAGGUCUUCGGAUGCUGACGAGUGGCGAACGGGUGAGUAAUACAUCGGAACGUGCCCAAUCGUGGGGGAUAACACAUCGAAAGAUGUGCUAAUACCGCAUAAGAUCUACGGAUGAAAGCGGGGGAUCGCAAGACCUCGCGCGAAUGGAGCGGCCGAUGGCAGAUUAGGUAGUUGGUGGGGUAAAGGCCUACCAAGCCGACGAUCUGUAGCUGGUCUGAGAGGACGACCAGCCACACUGGGACUGAGACACGGCCCAGACUCCUACGGGAGGCAGCAGUGGGGAAUUUUGGACAAUGGGCGCAAGCCUGAUCCAGCAAUGCCGCGUGCAGGAUGAAGGCCUUCGGGUUGUAAACUGCUUUUGUACGGAGCGAAAAGGUUUCUUAAUACAGAAGGCCCAUGACGGUACCGUAAGAAUAAGCACCGGCUACUCUG